rnacentral:lncRNA from 1 species
GGGGAAUGUCCUUCAGGCCCAGGAGAGAGUCUGCACUCAGGUGGUCAGCGGGUCCCUCGCCAGCCAGAAGCUGCUCUGUAGGAAGACAGUCUCUCUAGGGCUCACCUUGUUUGGAGCCUCCUGGGGCCGUUGUCCCCAGGCACAGAGGGGGAGCGGUGAGCCUCCAAGAAGUUGAUCCAAGCAUCUGUUGACGCUCCUUGGCUCUGUGUUGGGGACAGACGGAUGUGCUGGUGCUGCCGGUGGUGCUGGAGACGGAUGGGCUGGAAUGGUGCCCUCAGGAGGUCUGGGCCCUGGCCGAGAGGGCGCUGGGAGCUGCAGGCCACAGCAGGGAGCUCCAACCAGGGAAGGUGCUGACGGUGCCAGGCACGGCCCUCCCGGAUCUGCACUGCAAAGCGCUGUACCUUGUGCAGCUGGAUGGCGAGGCACUGCAGCAGCAGGGGGCACCAGAGGUCAUGCGCCAGAUGGUGCGAAGCUGCCUCUGUUCCAUGUACGGCACGUUCCUGGAGUCCGUGUCCUUCCCACUGCUGGGGGCCAAUCAGAC